UACGGAGGAUGCAAGCGUUAUCCGGAUUUAUUGGGUUUAAAGGGUGCGUAGGCGGGAAAAUAAGUCAGUGGUGAAAUCCUACAGCUUAACUGUAGAAUUGCCGUUGAUACUGUUUUUCUUGAGUAUGGUCAAGGAAGGCGGAAUGUGUAAUGUAGCGGUGAAAUGCUUAGAUAUUACACAGAACACCAAUUGCGAAGGCAGCUUUCUGGCCCAUUACUGACGCUGAGGCACGAAAGCGUGGGGAUCGAACAGGAUUAGAUACCCCCGUAGU
rnacentral:rRNA from 1 species